CCUGGUUGAUCCUGCCAGUAGCAUAUGCUUGUCUCAAAGAUUAAGCCAUGCAAGUCUAAGUACACACGGCCGGUACCAGUGAAACUGCGAAUGGCUCAUUAAAUCAGUUAUGUUCCUUUUUGAUCGCUCCAACGUUACUUGGAUAACUGUGCCAAUUCCAGAGCUAAUAACAUAUGCCCAACGAGCGCUGACCCUCCGGGGGGAUGCGUGCAUUUAUCAGACCCAAACCCCAGGCGGGGUCCCCUCGGGCGCCCCGGCCGCUUUGGUGACUCUAAUAACCUCGACCCAUCCGGGGGCCUCGUGCCCCCGGUCCGCUUUGGUGACUCUAGAUAACCUCGGGCCGAUCGCGCGCCCUCGCGGCGGCGACGGUUCAUUCGAAUGUCUGCCCUAUCAAGCCGAUUCGCGCGCCCUCUGUGUGGCGGUGACGUCUCAUUCGAAUGUCCUGGCUUCAACUUUGAUGGUACUUUCUGUGCCUACCAUGGUGACCACGGGUGACGGGGAAUCACGGUUCGAUUCCGGAGAGGGAGCCUGAGAAACGGCUACCACAUCCAAGGAAGGGAGCAGGCCGCAAAUUACCCAAUCCCGACACGGGGAGGUAGUGACAAUAAAUAACAAUACUGGGCUCAUCGAGUCUGGUAAUUGGAAUGAGUACAAUCUAAAUCCCUUAACGAGGAUCCAUUCUCCCGACUCGGGGAGGUAGUGACGAAAAAUAACAAUACAGGACUCUUUUCGAGGCCCUGUAAUUGGAAUGAGCGUAUCCUAAACCCAUGGGCGAGGACCCAUGGAGGGCAAGUCUGGUGCCAGCAGCGAGGUAAUUCUAGCUCCAAUAGCGUAUCUUAAAGUUGUUGCAGUUAAAAAGCUCGUAGGUUGGGCUCGGGAUCGACUGGCGGUCCGCCGCGAGGCGAGCUACCGCCUGUCCCACAGCCCCUGCCUCUCGGCCCCCCUCAGAUGCCUUAACUGAGUGUCCCGCGGGGUCCGAAGCGUUUAUUUGAAAAAAUUAGAGUGUUCAAAGCAGGCCCGGUCGCCUGAAUACCGCAGCUAGGGAUUAAUGGAAUAGGACUCCGGUUUCUAUUUUUGUGGUUUUUCUUCUGAACUGGGGCCAUGAUUAAGAAGGGACGGCCCGGGGGCAUUCGUAUUGUGCCGCUAUAGGGGUGAAAUUCUUGGACCGGCGCAAGACGGACGAAAGCGAAAGCAUUUGCCAAAGAAUGUUUUCCAUUAAUCAAGAACGAAAGUCGGAGGUUCGAAGACGAUCAGAUAACCGUCGUAGUUCCGACCAUAAACGAUGCCAACUAGCGAUCCCGGCGUUAUUCCCAUGACCCCGCGGGGCAGCCCCGGGAAACCAAAGUCUUUGGGUUCGGGGGGAGUAUGGUUGCAAAGCUGAAACUUAAAGAAUUGACCGGAAGGGCACCAACAGGGAGUUGCGCCUGCGGCUUAAUUUGACUCAACACGGGAAACCUCACCCGGCCGGACACGGAAAGGAUUGACAGAUUGAUAGCUCUUUCUUGAUUCUGUGGGUGGUGGUGCAUGGCCGGUUCUUAGUUUGGUGAGAAUUUGUCUGGCAAUUCCGAUAACGAAACGAGACUCCCGCCAUGCUAACUAGGUUUUGUGCGGGCCCGGAGCCGUUCGGCGUCCCAACUUCUUAUAGAGGGACAAGUGGCGUUCAGCCACACGAGAAUUGAGAAUAACAGGUCUGUGAUGCCCUUAACCUGCUAAAUAGCCCAGCCGACUUUGGUUAGCUGCUGGCUUCUUAGAGGGACUAUUGGCUUCCAGCCAAUGGAAGUUUGAGGCAAUAACAGGUCUGUGAUGCCCUUAGAUGUCCCGGGGCUGCACGCGCGCCACACUGAGCGGAUCAGCGUUGUCUACCCUUCGCCUAGAGGCGUGGGUAACCCGCUGAACUCUACCCUUCGCCGAGAGGCGUGGGUAACCCGCUGAACCCCACUCGUGAUAAGGGAUUUGGGGUUUCAAUUAUUUCCCAUGAAC
rnacentral:rRNA from 1 species